rnacentral:misc_RNA from 1 species
CUACCUACCAUAUGCUGCUUUGGCUUCUCAAAAACAGAUUUUAUUUACAGGGAAAUACAAGCCAUACAAACUUCCAUGUAUGUAUAAACCUUGACAUCAAUGUGAAGACGGUAGAAUCCAACUCUCUGCCAUUCCCUUCUACAUAAACACCACAUUAUAUUACAUUACAAGUUCUGAGAGGGAGAAACACCAAAAACCAAAUGAAAGCAAGUCAGCUUUACAGAGAACUCUGUCAAAAUCUUGAAGUUAAAAGGUAACCAACUAUUUAGCAGUUGAGGAAAGAGGAAUCACACAAGCCGUCUUUUGAAGUUUCGAGUGGUUGCUUGAUAUGUACGAACUAGCAAACCAACUCCUAUACCAAUUCCAAGACAAACGCCGAGUCCAAUUCCUACGCCAACCCUCACACCAGCGUUGAACCAUGAUAGUUCACCAUCUUCACCCUCCAUAUAUGCACUCCUCCAGUACAUGUUAUCAUAAUCUUCUUCAUUUUCUAGUUUGUAACUUCUGUAAUCUGCUAUCUGCAGAUCAUGUUGGGCUGAAACAUUUUUUNNNNNUGUCUCAUACUCUGGAAUUGCGUCCAACAUGCCCUUCCUGAUGUGCUUCUUACGGUAACUAAGCUGCAAAGUCUUGGUUAAGAUGAUGGGUGUUCCCGAGAAGCACCCUGUAACAUAAACCUCAAUGGUUGGUAACUCAGUACCAGCAAUGUGUUUUCCCCUCAAGAAGCCAGAACCAGCUGUGAUCCCUGGUUCACAAUUCAUACUCCACCGCUUCACAUUACUUUUCGAUUCCCCAACAAAGCAAUUACUGUUAGACAUCUCCAAAACCCCAGAUAGAAUUAGAUCCUCUUUGUGGAAAACCUCAAAUUUCACACUCCCUGUGGUUCUAAUACUCUCUGUGCUAACAAAUGUAGCUUCUUCAGAUUUCUUAUCCACACGAUCCCUUCUGAGAAGGGAAGAGACACCAUCAGCA